rnacentral:rRNA from 1 species
CCUGGUUGAUCCUGCCAGUAGUCAUACGCUCGUCUCAAAGAUUAAGCCAUGCAUGUCUAAGUAUAAAUAAUUUUUACUGUGAAACUGCGAAUGGCUCAUUAUAUCAGUUAUAGUCUAUUUGAUAGUACCUUACUACUUGGAUAACCGUAGUAAUUCUAGAGCUAAUACAUGCUAAAAAACCCAACUGCUUGUCGGACGGGUUGCAUUUAUUAGAUUGAAACCAAUCUGGCACUUGUGUCGGUAUUGAGUUGAGUCAUAAUAACUGUGCGGAUCGUAUUUCUAUGCGAUGAAUCAAUUGAGUUUCUGCCCUAUCAGCUUUGGAUGGUAGGAUAUGGGCCUACCAUGGCAUUAACGGGUAACGGGGAAUUAGGGUUUGAUUCCGGAGAGGGGGCCUGAGAAACGGCCACCACAUCCAAGGAAGGCAGCAGGCGCGUAAAUUACCCAAUUCUGACACAGAGAGGUAGUGACAAUAAAUAACAAUGCCGGGCUUUUUUAAGUCUGGCAAUUGGAAUGAGAACAAUUUAAAUCCCUUAACGAGGAUCAAUUGGAGGGCAAGUCUGGUGCCAGCAGCCGCGGUAAUUCCAGCUCCAAUAGCGUAUAUUAAGAAAAGUUGAUAUCUUACCACGCAUGGUAAAACUUUAAAUGCCCAUAAAAGUAGCUUUGAAAGAAGUUGCUAGUCUACAUGACUGGGUUGUCUUUUGUCUUUGGAUGGAAGAUAAUUCGGUAGUAGGCGACACCAUCAAAUUGCGGGAACUCCCUAAAGCUUUGAGUACUAAGUCUAGAUAGAAAUAUACUAGAUGGCCAGGUUAAUGACCUCGGGUAUAGUAAAAACCUCAAAGAUGAAUUAUGACAAUGGGUAAUCCGCAGCCAAGCUCUAAGGUAUAUAAUUAUAUACUAUGAGUGCAGUUCACAGACUAAAUGGUGGUGGGUGUACUAUAAAAAAGUACGCUUAAGAUAUAGUCGGACUGUACUUGAAAGAGUAUAGACGAUAACUUUUAUAAAAAAGGCUUGGGAGCCUGCGGCUUAAUUUGACUCAACACGGGAAAACUUACCAGGUCCGGACAUAGUAAGGAUUGACAGAUUGAGAGCUCUUUCUUGAUUCUAUGGGUGGUGGUGCAUGGCCGUUCUUAGUUGGUGGAGUGAUUUGUCUGGUUAAUUCCGUUAACGAACGAGACCUCCGCCUGCUAAAUAGUUUUGCAUACAAUUUUUGUAUGUUAAGACUUCUUAGAGGGACUUUUGGCGAUUAGCCAAAGGAAGUUGGAGGCAAUAACAGGUUAAAGUACACAGGCCUGUAAAAGUGAUAUAUUAUAUAUAUUGCUAGUCUAAUUGUUUUAUUUCUGCGGAGAAGUCUCCUAUUAUCAGGCAGAAACCUUUUUUAAAGGUACAAUAGGCGAGACUACCUGGAACAGGGGACACCUUAUAUUCUAAUUAGAAACAAAGGUCAAUCCUGUGGCGAGCUGGAGUAACGACCAGCCGUCGCAACGCGCGCUAAGGAGUCGGUCUUGAUUUUGUUCUAUACGUACAAACGAGGCUUAAGGGACGUGCUAAUCCCAUGAGUAAUCAUGCUUUUACAAAUAGGUCUGAUAAGCCAAAGUGUAAAAGAACUUUAGAAAU